rnacentral:ncRNA from 1 species
AACAACCGUGAUUCCGGGAGUAGUGGCGAGCGAAACUGGAUGAGGCUAAACCGUAUACGUGUGAGACCCGGCAGGGGUUGCGUAUGCGGGGUUGUGGGAGUGUGCUUGAUCGGUCUGCCGGCCGGUCGGAGAGUCAGAAACCGUUGAUGUAGGCGAAGGACAUGCGAAAGGUCCGGCGUAGAGGGUAAGACCCCCGUAGUCGAAACAUCAGCGGCUCUCUUGCGUAUUUCCCAAGUAGCACGGGGCCCGAGAAAUCCCGUGUGAAUCUGGCGGGACCACCCGCUAAGCCUAAAUAUUCCCUGGUGACCGAUAGCGGAUAGUACCGUGA